CCAAAAUACCCGACCCGAUCCCACCUUGUUUAUUCUUCACGUUGAAAUCCAAGAAAAUCGGGGAUGAAAUCCAGUAAGCCAACAUCUUCUUUCCCAUAAAUCAAGCAACAAAUCAUGGUUGAAAACCCAAAAAUCAGGCCAACAGUAAAAUCCCAUCACCAUCGCCGUUUUCUCUUUCCCCCCAGAGCUCCCCCAUGCCUUUUACUGUUGAUCUCGCAAAGGAGCAAAAAAUAAUAAUUUCAAACUCUUUCUUUCAAAAAUCCAAUGGAUUUCCCACAAAAUUUUCUAUGUUCUUCCCCUAUAAAUAGUUCCCAUUCUCAAGGGAUUUGGAGAGAGGAUCAGGAGUUGAGUUUUGAAGCGAUAAUCACUUUACACUAGAAAGUUUCAAGUGAAUCUCUAAAAUAUAGUUUGCAGCUGGUUUUGAACUUUUUGGCUGUCUAUUUGUACUUGAAUCUUGUGGUAGAAGAAUCAUUGCUCUCAAGCUCAUUGCCGUCUCGAGUUCGCUACUCCAGAGAAGGAGCCAUGGAGGCUUCAAUUUCUUUACCGAGUCAGCCCCAUUCUUACUCAAACCAUUGGAAGCAGAAUUACAGAUUGAGCACAGGUUACUGGUCCAGGACACCAAGAAAAGGGCUGAUAUGCAGCCUGUAUACAUUCAUCAUACAAUGGUAUACAAGUUCCGCCCAACGACUGCUAAGAAAAAACAAAGAUACAUGUUGGAGAAACCAAAGGGGUUUAUAAAAAGUCUAUAUAUGGGUUGAUAUACAUGAAACGGUACUGAUUUGCGAUCUGUAUACACUGAUAUACGGCUUGUGUAUACAAAAACGGGUUUUGGAUUUAACCCCAAAAGUAGCAGCAAAUUCGGCCUAAGAAAGGCCCAAAUUCAACUUCUCUCCCAUACUCUUAAAGUAUUUGAUUGUGAUUGUUCAUCUUUGUUGUUUAUUAACUCUAACCUUUAUUUUGUUUUGGAUUAACUUACUUAAAUCCCCAA